UUCCAGAGGCUUCCCAAAGUGGCAGUAUGGUGGCAAGAGAGCAGGAAUCCACUCAGGCUCCACUGCAGACACACCUUUCAUGUACAGUUUUGUAGUCUCAACAAUUUCUUGAUACACCACAAACUCCGGGAGCUGCUUGAAGAGGACUGAGCUUGGGUGGAUGAACACCGGGUCAUCCAGAAGAGCAGUCUUGUAGGCAUUCUUCCACUUAUCAUCCAG
rnacentral:lncRNA from 1 species